CAGGAACACCUCGAAUACUCACUUCAUCAAGUCUCUGCAGACCAAAACCCAUCUCUGCUAACCAUACCCAUCUUAAAGAUACAGGAACAACUGCCAUGUUGUGGAGAGAGCAGAAAACAGCAGGCAAUCUCCCAGCCCUGAGAAUGGCCUCCUCUUCCCAACAGCCAGCAGGAAGGCUGGAAUCUCAGUCCUACGACCAAAAGAAACUCUAUUCUAACAGGCCAAAUCAGUCUGGAAGAAGAUCUUAAGCUUCAGCUCACAGAUUCUCUGCCUGUGUCGUAUGGCUAUUGCCAGGGGAUGAACGAGGGUUGCUCUUCGCAAUUCAAGACUGUCUUUCCUACCCUCUUCAGUGCCUCUUGAUGUUAAAACCAGAUGCAGAAAGGUAUUUGAAGAUAUGCAAUAAUUCAAAAGCGUAUUACGUGGAAGGAUGAAUCCAAUUCCUGUUAUAUCAUUUUGGCCAGUAAAGAAAACUAACACAAGAACAGAAAACCAAACAUCGCAUGUUCUCACUCAUAAGUGGGAGUUGAACAAUGAGAACACUUGGCCCCCGGGAGGGUGGACAUCCCACACUGGGGCCUGUCGGGGGGUGGGGGGCUAGGGGAGGGAUAGCAUUAGGAGAAAUACCUAAUGUAUAUGACGGGUUGAUGGGUGCAGCAAACCACCAUGGCACGUGUAUACCUAUGUAACAAACCUGCACGUCCUGCACAUGUACCCCAGAACUUAAAAUAUAAUAAAAAAAGAAGGCACAACUUUUAUUUUUUUUAGCAUUUCUUUUGUAAGCAUGUGUUUUAUAUACUUUAUGCUAUGCAGACAUUAGUCAGUGUUUUUAGCAACUUCCAGAAAAUACAUGAGGAGAGUGUACUUUUGAAGCUAAAAUACAUGGCUUCAAUUAUGUUUUGAAAUGAAAGACUUUUGUUGUAAAAUUGUUGAAUUCUUCAUUAAAUGACUCGGGUUUUAAGACAGCUGUAAUAAUAACUAACAUUACAUUACUAAUGUGAUUAUGAUCUUCCUGUGUAUUACAAACUAUAUUUCAUGCUGGGUGAUGGGACUUAGGGCUUACUGUGAGAUGAUUCUAGCUUCAUAGCCCAGAUUGCUGGUUAUUAGACUCCAGCUCAUACGGCAUCACUCUUUCUUAUUCUUAGCAAGAACAUGGACAAGUUUUCAUUUUCAGUGUACCUUCCUCACCCUACAGAACGGUUGAGAGGUUAUAUCUUAGGCCUGUUAAAAUCAUGGUUGCUUUCAGCCGGGCCAGUGGCUUAUGCCUGUAAUCCCACCACCUUGGAAGGCUGAGGCGGGAGGAUCAUGAGGUCAGGAGAUCGAGA
rnacentral:lncRNA from 1 species